rnacentral:lncRNA from 1 species
GGAAGCCAAAUGAUAGACUCCUUCUAAUAGACUUCUAGAACAAGGCAUGUCUGUUGUUGGCAUUGACGUAGGAGUUUUCUUCUUGGUUACUCUGGAAACUGGGGAUCCCUGGCUGGUGCCACCCUACCUGGGGCUCACUUGCACACACUGGCAUGCCCCAGCUUGCCUGUGUUACAGCUUGUAGCCACGUUUGGCAUUCCUGAGCUCUUGUACUGUGCCCAAGAAGAAUGAGGUUAUGCUGGACAUUGAAGCGUGAGGAGGGCAAAGAAGCAUUUUUAUCGAGCAAUGGAAAUAGUUUUCAGCAGAGAGAGGAUGCGAGGUUGGACCUCCUACCUGAAGGACAACAGAAGUUUCAGGAAAAACCACCAGUCAUUAUAUGAAGAUUAUACAUUGGUUUGGCCCAGAAAGGCAAGACAUCUUGAAGCAGGGGUUUACAGAUCAUAGAAGCUAUUUUCUGAAUGAAAGAGUGGAGGUACCAGGAUGGUCUCCUUGAAUGAUGGCUGGAGCCUGUUAUGAUAAUGUCACUACUAUAUGUUUGUCUUCUGGAAUAUCUUUUGGAAAUUAUGAUGCCAUUAGCCAAGAAUCUGCUGGUAAUGCAAGAAUGUCAUGUGUGGAGGUUAUUCCUGGCAAAGUCUGUGCAAGGGGACCCAGAUACAAAUCAUUUUACUCAAGUCUUGGAGCAGCCUUCGAAGAAAAACAAAUUUCAUACCAGCCAGAACCUGAGUGGAGGCCAAGAACUGCCAACAUGUUUGGAAGGCCAAACGCUUUUAGAAAUAUGGUCCCUGACUACCUUUUAGAGAGACUAUCACUUGAAAAAGAAAGUGACUUGGAACUUUGUUAUUUACAAAC